GCCUCUGUGGUGUAGUGGUAGUAGCAUGCAUCCCCGGUAUGGCUGAAACGCGGGUCGAUUUCCGCCUGAGGUC